GGACGAACGCUGGCGGCGUGCUUAACACAUGCAAGUCGAGCGGUAAGGCCCUUUCGGGGGUACACGAGCGGCGAACGGGUGAGUAACACGUGGGUGACCUGCCCUUAGCUCUGGGAUAAGCCUGGGAAACUGGGUCUAAUACCGGAUAUGACUCCAUGACGCAUGUUGUGGGGUGGAAAGCCUUGUGCGGCUAGGGAUGGGCCCGCGGCCUAUCAGCUUGUUGGUGGGGUGAUGGCCUACCAAGGCGACGACGGGUAGCCGGCCUGAGAGGGCGACCGGCCACACUGGGACUGAGACACGGCCCAGACUCCUACGGGAGGCAGCAGUGGGGAAUCUUGCGCAAUGGCGAAAGCCUGACACAGCAACGCCGCGUGAGGGAUGACGGCC
rnacentral:rRNA from 1 species